GACGAACGCUGGCGGCGCGCCUAACACAUGCAAGUCGAGCGAAGCGGCGGACGGGUGAGUAAUGCCUAGGAAUCUGCCUGGUAGUGGGGGCUAACGUCCGGAAACGGGCGCUAAUACCGCAUCCCAUCAGAUGAGCCUACGUCGGAUUAGCUAGUUGGUGGGGUAAAGGCCUACCCAGGCGACGAUCCGUAACUGGUCUGAGAGGAUGAUCAGUCACACUGGAACUGAGACACGGUCCAGACUCCUACGUGAGGCAGCAGUGGGGAAUAUUGGACAAUGGGCGAAAGCCUGAUCCAGCCAUGCCGCGUGUGUGAAGAAGGUCUUCGGAUUGUAAAGCACUUUAAGUUGGGAGGCGUUACCAACAGAAUAAGCACCGGCUAACUUCGUGCCAGCAGCCGCGGUAAUAC
rnacentral:rRNA from 1 species